UGAGAGAGGGGACUAAUUAUCAAACGAAAAAGAACUGGCACAUAAUAUAUGUGGGGAAUUGGGGUGAUGAGGCCACUGCCAUAUUAUUAUAUAUAUACAAAUGAUGAAAGGCCUUAAGAACAGUUCAAGUUAUCAAGUUUAUCAUGACUGCCAUCUGCCCGUCAUCUUCCCACCUCUGCAAAACUUGUCAUCCACCCUACCACAACACUUCAUCCUUCCACUUUCUACCUUCUCAUCCACCCUCCCAUACCACCUAAUGCUUCGAAUUGCUACCACCGCGUCACCUAAUGCAUCUGUCCCUCACCAGCACUCUUCUACGAGAUAACGCACGCCGGCGAUACAACCACCACCAAAUUCAAGGCUUUCGUCAGGCAAUUAGGGCUCCACCAGAAGGGCAUCAAGCAACCGCGCUAAACACUACUCCACUCUCAAACUUGCCGCCCUCGGCACAACCACAACCAAGUCGAAGGCUUUCAUUAGGCGAUUACGUCUCCAGCAUGUAUGCUUUGACGAUUUAGGUUACUAUUUUCAACUUCGACUGUUCAUUAGGAAGAAAGUUUGGGGAAUUUUUUAAUGAAUGAGUAAUUUUUUUCAACUUUGAAGUCACAUAGGGUAAUGUAAUCUUGAAGAAGACGCUGAAGAUUGAUCGAUCUUAAAUGUAGUCGCCUGUUUUUGCAGCUUUUUUUAAAGCAAAGCGGACCUUCUUUUGGGUUGCGGCUGUUUCACUUUUUCUAAGUAGACCCCUUUUCGGACUACUGUGAUCGACUUAUUUUGUCAAGCAAACUACCCUUAGAGUGUAUUAGAUACAAAACAGCACCCAAAUUCAGCAAUGAUAAACACUAAACAUAACUAAAAGUCAUCAUCAAAUGUCAACGGAUGAUAAAAGUGGUUUGCAUAUUAGUGACAGUUGCACUCAGUAACAUGAGUGUGCUGCUGGUCCUCAUAACAACUAUAAAGAGACCAUUCAAAUCAGGGAUUCAUAUUGUCAAAUUAGUUUCCUUGAACAACCAGGUGCGUUUAAAGACUAUUUUUAAUGGCUAUAUGACCCGUUUAUUCAAACCUCUUUACUUAGAAAAGAAAUUUACUUUACUUUUCUUUAUUGCCAGGAGAUUGAAUAUUUUUUUAUGUUGAAAUGUAGAAGAGAUAUAUUUUGUAUGUUGUGCGAUAAUCAACAUCCCACCACAACGCGCGAGAAGGCGUCAACUUGUGUAACGCAGUUACUAAGCCUCAGCGCUUACAGAUCAACACACUGGCAGCCACCCGAGUGUAAUGAACUCCGUUGCCAUAUGAAGCCAACUUUGGUUGAAUCAACAGAUGCAACCAAAAAGCUUAUUGUCAAAGUGGGAAGCCAACUUUUCAAUAGAUUAUGGGUACUCCUUUUUGGCCACAUUCGUACUUACUUUACACGUGAAUAAUGUGUAUGUUCGUCCAAAGAAACACAAAGUGAAAUUCAUGAACGGCACUCAGGUUGCGUUUCGCCUCAGUUCGAUAGGAUCACACCAGAAUUCCUACCACACUGCCAUGGUACUUCAGUCUCUUAUAUUGUUCAAGCAACAUAAAAAGAACAUGAGCUACUUACCUCUGCUUCUAUUGAAACCCAUAAAGAAACUUAACCGUGAAACAAGAUUGUGAUAACCUUUUGUGAAGACAAGGCGAUGUUGGUUUGGAGAUAACAUUCAGUCCAAAGACAUACUUGCAGUCACUUCAACAUCCAUCUCCGAAUACAAAGGAAUGCUACACCUAGAAAUGACACCGGCAACUACAGUGGCAAUCAAUCAAAGCAUGGAAAGCACACUGUAAUUUUGGUUGUCAUUGUAUAAUAAAAAAAAUCACAAUCAGUUGCUUACGUCUGUACGCCGUGUUUUUAUGCCGCCGGCCCGCCGCAACGCGCGGCGGGUCAAAGUUCUAGUUAUCUUAUUAGGAGAAAGAUGGGGCCAAGCCCACCGAAAGCAUACGGCAGCAACAACAUUAUAUUUGGAUGGCAAUACAUUGGGGAGCCAUAUUAAACUAUCAUGGGCCGAAUCAUUCUGCGGGCCACCAAAAUAUACCAAUCCAGCAGCAUUUACAUGAAAUUGGAAUAUUGGGCCUUUAGACAUAUGGAGGACACGUCAGAAGAAAAAAAAAGGGAGCUGCGCAUAAUAGGGUUUUGCACAUAUAUAAUUAAAUCGAUCAGAGGAGGGCUGCAUCGAAUUCGAAAAAGAAGAUUAGAUGAACGAAGAUAAGCAGGAGCGAAUUGUUUUACAAGAAAUCAAGCUUUGGAAUCAUUAGGGUCAAGGGGGAAGCAUAGAGAUCAAGAAAUUUUACGGGUUCUACCUUACGAUUUCUUUUAUUUUCUAGUUUCUUGUUUUUACUUCGAUGAAUUCUUGUUUGAGAUUUUGUUUGAUUGUUUUUAAGACUAUGAUUCUUGGCUAAACGUUCUUUUAACUACCUAGAUUAUGACAAUAGCUUAAUAAAGUUUGGAUUUUUAUUCGGUU